GGCUGGUCUGAGUGCAGUGGUGUUUACAACUAAUUGAUCACAACCAGUUACAGAUUUCUUUGUUCCUUCUCCACUCCCACUGCUUCACUUGACUGGCCUUAA
ensembl:Y_RNA Y_RNA Y RNA